rnacentral:rRNA from 1 species
CGUUCUCUGAAAUUGCAUAAGUAAUUGGUUCUUAUAUAGAGAAUCGGACCUGCCCAGUGACUAGAAUGUUAAACGGCCGCGGUACUCUGACCGUGCAAAGGUAGCAUAAUCAUUUGCCUUUUAAUUGGAGGCUUGUAUGAAUGGUUUGACGAAAGCUAAGCUGUCUCUUUCUAAUUUUGAAAAAAUUAAUUUUCAAGUGAAGAAGCUUGUAUUUAACUGAGGGACAAGAAGACCCCGUUGAGCUUUAGUAAUCUAGUAAAAUAAUAAAAUUGAUCACUUUGAUUAAUUAAAGUGUUUACGUUAAAUUUAUCUAAAUGAUUUUUGUUAGAAAUCUUUAGUUGGGGCGACUGAGGAACAAAUAGAGCUUCCUUUAGUAUUCCCUACAAUGAAGUACAUUUUAAGUUGGUUUGAUCCAGUAAUAUACUGAUUAAAGGAAAAAGUUACCACGGGGAUAACAGCGUAAUCUUUCUAGCGAGUUCCUAUCGAAAGAAGGGUUUGCGACCUCGAUGUUGGACUAAGAUAUCCUAUAGGUGCAGAAGCUUAUAAUGGUUAGUCUGUUCGACUAUUAAAAUCUU